rfam:Capsaspora owczarzaki ATCC 30864 unplaced genomic scaffold supercont2.2, whole genome shotgun sequence.
GGGCAAAUGACGCAGUGGCAGCGUGCUUCCUUUGCAAGGAAGAUGUCGGGGGUUCGAUCCCCCCUUUGUCCA